GACAGCAGCAGCAACCUGAAGCUUACACCUGCAUGCACACUGAAGCUAAACAGGGUUGAGUCGGGUCAGUACCUGGAUGGGAGAUGUUCUGGGAAGACCAGGUUGCUGCUGGAA
ensembl:rRNA 5S_rRNA 5S ribosomal RNA